CCCAAUUGAUUGACGGUGCUUGCAUCUGAUUGAUUUUCCUUGCCAACGAGUGGCGGACGGGUGAGUAACACGUAGGUAACCUGCCCAGAAGUGGGGGACAACAUUUGGAAACAGAUGCUAAUACCGCAUAACAGCGUUGUUCGCAUGAACAACGCUUAAAAGAUGGCUUCUCGCUAUCACUUCUGGAUGGACCUGCGGUGCAUUAGCUUGUUGGUGGGGUAACGGCCUACCAAGGCGAUGAUGCAUAGCCGAGUUGAGAGACUGAUCGGCCACAAUGGGACUGAGACACGGCCCAUACUCCUACGGGAGGCAGCAGUAGGGAAUCUUCCACAAUGGGCGCAAGCCUGAUGGAGCAACACCGCGUGAGUGAAGAAGGGUUUCGGCUCGUAAAGCUCUGUUGUUAAAGAAGAACACGUAUGAGAGUAACUGUUCAUACGUUGACGGUAUUUAACCAGAAAGUCACGGCUAACUACGUGCCAGCAGCCGCGGUAAUACGUAGGUGGCAAGCGUUAUCCGGAUUUAUUGGGCGUAAAGAGAGUGCAGGCGGUUUUCUAAGUCUGAUGUGAAAGCCUUCGGCUUAACCGGAGAAGUGCAUCGGAAACUGGAUAACUUGAGUGCAGAAGAGGGUAGU
rnacentral:rRNA from 1 species